GGAUGGUGAAGUCUGGUAUUGUUAGUGAUGAUAUGAAGUAUGAUGAUUCAGAUGCAGAAAUUUGGAAUCCCGUGACCAGUAGGAAAAAAAAUAGAACAAGAAGGUGUUCUGAGAUGAGUGACAGUGACAGAGAAAAGCAGAAUGAGUCGAAAAAAGCAAGGAGGAAGGAGGAAGGAGAAGUGUGGAAAGUGAUUGUGGAAUCAGCAUGAAAAGAUUUUGAAAAUGAGUACACUGAACGAAGUGAGAAUCAAAAGUCAUAUCCCUGGUAUAAAUCGUAAGAUACGUGGAGUGAUAACCGGAGUGCCAAUAGACUUAAGUAUUGAAGAACUGCAGAAAGAAAUCAAGGGAGCCAAAGUGACUGUUGAAAAAAGG